GGCUGUAGCUCAGUUGGGAGAGCACCUGGUUUGCAACCAGGAGGUCACCGGUUCGAGCCCGGUCAGCUCCACCAU
rnacentral:tRNA from 1 species